GGGAAUCUGUUCCCCAGACGGGAGGCGUCGGGUGGGGAUGGAAGCGUUAUCAGAGUGCAUGUUCCCCUCUCGGUAACAGACAUGGCUCAGUGUAAAGAAAGGUUUGGCAGAUUCUCCAAGAACCCUGCUAUGUUUAGGGAUGAAUUUAUUAAGUUGAGUAUAGUUUUGUUCUGACUUGAAGGGACAGGACUGCAGUGUGAACGCACUGCUGCCCUCCUCUGUCAUGCCUUUAUGACAAAGGUGAAUUCUCACAAAGGCUGCUGAAGUAGCUGAUGGGUCGGCAGCUCCAGACCACGAUGCUCGGAAGCCUUCUGAGGAAGCAGCACCCCUCAUUGACUUCAAAUGCGACCCUGAAAAUUCUCACAAAAUGGAGAGAAUAGAGCAUUUUGGGACUUGUGUUUCAGAGGAGAUGGGAAGGUGUCAGGUUAAGCCUGUCAAUUAUGACAGGAUGAAAGGGAGGAGCAUCCUGCUGUAUUUUCCAGUCACCUGUCAGAGACCUUCCAAAGAUGGUGUCACCCUCGUAUGGGGGACCCCAGAGGAUGUCGCAUACCACAGAAAACCCACUGCACUGCCAGCCCUUGGAGAAGAAAUUGAAAAUGCACGCGCAACAAUCUCAACAACCAAGGUCACCCGAGCAGCAGCUCUCCGUGCUAGUGAACAUCUGGGAGCGAACGGCCACCACUGUGAGCACCCCUGUAAUUGCAGAGGCCAAAGAGGUUAUACAUGGAAUUACAUAUGACCCAGCAAUACUGCUUUGAUGUAUAUACCUAGGAAAUAUGAGGACAUAUGUCCACACAACCAUGUGUACAUAAAUGCCCACAGCAAUAUUGUUUAUAAGAGCCAAAUUCUCAUCCACAGAAGAAUGGACUAACAAAAUACAGACUAGAAUGGAAUAUUCCAUUCUAGAAUAUAUAAAGGGAAUAUUAAAUAUAUAAAGUAAUAUUAGUGAGCCAUAAAAAGGAAUAAAGUACUGACCACUGCUUCAACAUGGCUGGACCUUGAAGAGAUUAUGCUUAUUGAAAGAAUCCCUCUAGGUCAGCAAGGCCCUAGAUGUCAAAACGUCAGAAUACAGAAAGCAAGACACAGUUGAUACAUCACAAGAGUCAACUGCAGUAGAUCUUAGAUCUUGGGAACCAAGAUGAUCUUGAAAUGAUUUGUUCUCGGGACACAAAGGUGUUGGGAGCUACUGCUGAAGUGCGUAGGAGGCCACCGAUGAAGAGGUUCCCAACUCUUGGGGUAGCCUCGUGUUGAGGAAGUUGGUCUGGAAAGCAAUGACCACAGCCAGAGAGAAGAAGCCAAAACUGCAAGAAUCCGAAGUCCAUGAGGUGCUGAAGACACUAGUGGAAGACACUAGUGUGACUUGCACGUAGAGUGGAAGCAGUGUGCCCAGGGAUUAGAUGCUGUGUAAUGCAUACUGAACUGCGAGUCCCUCACUGAGAUGGUGGCUGACACCUGGUGUUUUUGUCUGUUUAUCUCCAGACCCGUUGCAGUCCUCGUGUUGGAGGCUGCGGGUAUCUGCAGUGCUUUGCCAGUCUGUCUGCGGGUGUCUUCACUGAGUAGUGUUUGGCAGGCAUGAAGGAAGAGCUGGUCUUUGACUGUCUGUAAACUGCACUUCAAGAGCUCAGCUUACACCCACACCCCCACCCACACCCCCACACAUCCUUGGAUCUACUUUUCCAGAUUUUUAAAAUAGCAUAGGCACCCCAUUCAUGUGAGCAGGGAAAUGACUUUGGUUCCUACAAGUGGUGAUCAAAAUACAUGAAUUGAGAUUAUGGCCAGGUGUGGUGGCUCACGUUUGUAAUCUCAGCACUCAAGAGGCUGAGGCAGGAGGGUUUCAGCAAGUUUGAGGCCAGCCUGGGCUGCAUAGUGAGUUCAAGUUCAGCCUGAACUACAUAGUGAGACCCUGUGAUGAAGAAGAAGAAGAAGAGGAAGAAGAAGAGGAAGAAGAGUAGGAAGGGGAAGGAAGAAGAAGAAGGAGAAGAAGAAUUGGGAUUACAUUGGCCUCCUAGAAUGAGUUAAAGACCAUUGCCAAAGGUCAUCCUGUCUCAGGAAAGUCUGCACAGAACUUUCCUGUGGAACAGCUCCUGCAGAAUCGGCACAGGUCUGGACUAUUUGGAUUGUUUCACAACCUCGUGCCAGGUGCUUUUGAAGGAUUACAGUGGGGAAGGGGCUCUGAAGACUGGGCAUGGACAUGUGUGAGCCCCCAUGAAGAAAUAGAAGCCCAGAGCCGCUCCAGAGAGGUAAACUGAAAGUCAGCUCCAGGGAGCUGCCCCAGUGGUGAGGGGCAGAUGGUUUCUGAAUGUUCACCAUGGAAAUAGUGAGCCUAGCUGCCAGCAUAGGUCCAUUGUGGCAGGAACCAACUAAUCAGUUCUGCUUUCCCUCUUGUUUUAAACUAGUAAACCUAGGAACCCUUUAUCCAUGUCUUUAACUCUAAAUACUUUGUUUCUCAUAAGAAUGGUCUUGGAUGAGAUGCAGGAAUGAGAAAUUAUGGGGCUAGAGACUGAAGGAGGAUUCUUUUUUUUUUUUUUUUGGUACCGAG
ensembl:lncRNA